rnacentral:rRNA from 1 species
CCCGCACAAGCAGCGGAGCGUGUGGUUUAAUUCGAUGAUACACGAAGAACCUUACCAGGGUUUGACAUGCUAGUGGUAGGGAUCCGAAAGGUGACCGACCCUCGGGGAGCUAGCACAGGUGCUGCAUGGCUGUCGUCAGCUCGUGUCGUGAGAUGUUCGGUUAAGUCCGCUAACGAGCGCAACCCUUGCUGUGUGUUACAUGUGUCACACGGGACUGCCGGUCUUAAACCGGAGGAAGGUGGGAUGACGUCAAGUCAGCAUGGCCUUUAUGUCCUGGGCUACACACACGCUACAAUGGCCGGUACAAUAGGUUGCGAAGCCGCGAGGCGGAGCCAAUCCUCAAAGCCGGCCUCAGUUCAGAUUGCAGGCUGCAACCCGCCUGCAUGAAGAUGGAGUUGCUAGUAACCGCAGGUCAGCUAUACUGCGGUGAAUACGUUCCCGGGGCUU